rnacentral:rRNA from 1 species
GACGAACGCUGGCGGCGUGCUUAACACAUGCAAGUCGAACGGAAAGGCCCUGCUUUUGUGGGGUGCUCGAGUGGCGAACGGGUGAGUAACACGGGAGUAACCUGCCCUGGACGUGGGGAUAACUUCAGGAAACUGGGGCUAAUACCGGAGAGGAGCGCCUGCUGCAGGGUGGGGGUUGGAAAGUUUCGGCGGUUGGGGAUGUACGCGCGGCUUAUCAGCUUGUGGGGGGGGUAGUGGCUUACCAAGGCUUUGACGGGUAGCCGGCCUGAGAGGGUGACCGGCCACAUUGCGACUGAGAGACGGCCCAGACUCCUACGGGAGGCAGCAGUGGGGAAUAUUGCCCAAUGGGCGGAAGCCUGAUGCAGCAACGCCGCGUGCGGGAUGACGGCCUUCGGGUUGUAAACCGCUUUCGCCUGUGACGAAGCGUGAGUGACGGUAAUGGGUAAAGAAGCACCGGCUAACUACGUG